GUCAAGAUUAAGCGACAGUAAGGACAUUUAGGACACAGGGUGCAGGGCUGACAAUAAAUGGACAGACUAGGGAAACACAUGGGCUUAGACAGUUUAAAAGCAUUUCCUAAAGAAGAGUUCCAAAAACAAAGCACAAGAAUCUUCAGUAACAGCAGCAUCCCUGAAUAAGAAUAGAGCUCUCCAAAGUCAUUUCUGUAGAAGGCAAACACAUUAUGUUACCUUUGUCUCCUACAAACCCUGCACGUGCGCUGGACUGGACCUCUGCAGGCCAGGGUGUGCACCCUGAGUGUAUUUGCUGUUUUAAAAAAUUGUUUUCUGUUCAAAAACUGACCUGCUCUGUUCAUUUUCUGCAUAGGAGGCUGUUUUCUCCUGCCAGAGAAACGGAGGAAAAGCAAGAAAACCAUGGUCCAGCUGGGUGAAGCA
rnacentral:lncRNA from 1 species